rnacentral:rRNA from 1 species
UACGUAGGGUGCAAGCGUUAAUCGGAAUUACUGGGCGUAAAGCGUACGCAGGCGGCUUUGCAAGACAGGUGUGAAAUCCCCGGGCCUAACCUGGGAACUGCAUUUGUGACUGCAUAGCUAGAGUUUGUCAGAGGGGGGUGGAAUUCCACGUGUAGCAGUGAAAUGCGUAGAUAUGUGGAGGAACACCGAUGGCGAAGGCAGCCCCAUGGGAUGUGACUGACGCUCAUGUACGAAAGCGUGGGGAGCAAACAGG